UACAGAGGGUGCAAACGUUGUUCGGAAUUACUGGGCGUAAAGCGCGUGUAGGCGGCUACGCAAGUCGGAUGUGAAAGCCCACGGCUCAACCGUGGAAGUGCACCCGAAACUAUGUAGCUUGAGUUCUGGAGAGGAAGGCGGAAUGCUUGGUGUAGAGGUGAAAUUCGUAGAUAUCAAGCGGAACACCGGUGGCGAAGGCGGCCUUCUGGACAGUGACUGACGCUGAGACGCGAAAGCGUGGGGAGCAAACAGG
rnacentral:rRNA from 1 species